rnacentral:rRNA from 1 species
UUAAGCGACUAAGCGUACACGGUGGAUGCCCUGGCAGUCAGAGGCGAUGAAGGACGUGCUAAUCUGCGAUAAGCGUCGGUGAGGUGAUAUGAACCGUUAUAACCGGCGAUUUCCGAAUGGGGAAACCCAGUGUGUUUCGACACACUAUCAUUAACUGAAUCCAUAGGUUAAUGAGGCGAACCGGGGGAACUGAAACAUCUAAGUACCCCGAGGAAAAGAAAUCAACCGAGAUUCCCCCAGUAGCGGCGAGCGAACGGGGAGGAGCCCAGAGCCUGAAUCAGUGUGUGUGUUAGUGGAAGCGUCUGGAAAGGCGCGCGAUACAGGGUGACAGCCCCGUACACAAAAAUGCACAUAUUGUGAGCUCGAUGAGUAGGGCGGGACACGUGGUAUCCUGUCUGAAUAUGGGGGGACCAUCCUCCAAGGCUAAAUACUCCUGACUGACCGAUAGUGAACCAGUACCGUGAGGGAAAGGCGAAAAGAACCCCGGCGAGGGGAGUGAAAAAGAACCUGAAACCGUGUACGUACAAGCAGUGGGAGCCUCUUAAUGGGGUGACUGCGUACCUUUUGUAUAAUGGGUCAGCGACUUAUAUUCUGUAGCAAGGUUAACCGAAUAGGGGAGCCGAAGGGAAACCGAGUCUUAACUGGGCGUUAAGUUGCAGGGUAUAGACCCGAAACCCGGUGAUCUAGCCAUGGGCAGGUUGAAGGUUGGGUAACACUAACUGGAGGACCGAACCGACUAAUGUUGAAAAAUUAGCGGAUGACUUGUGGCUGGGGGUGAAAGGCCAAUCAAACCGGGAGAUAGCUGGUUCUCCCCGAAAGCUAUUUAGGUAGCGCCUCGUGAAUUCAUCUCCGGGGGUAGAGCACUGUUUCGGCAAGGGGGUCAUCCCGACUUACCAACCCGAUGCAAACUGCGAAUACCGGAGAAUGUUAUCACGGGAGACACACGGCGGGUGCUAACGUCCGUCGUGAAGAGGAAACAACCCAGACCGCCAGCUAAGGUCCCAAAGUCAUGGUUAAGUGGGAAACGAUGUGGGAAGGCCCAGACAGCCAGGAUGUUGGCUUAGAAGCAGCCAUCAUUUAAAGAAAGCGUAAUAGCUCACUGGUCGAGUCGGCCUGCGCGGAAGAUGUAACGGGGCUAAACCAUGCACCGAAGCUGCGGCAGCGACACUAUGUGUUGUUGGGUAGGGGAGCGUUCUGUAAGCCUGUGAAGGUGUACUGUGAGGUAUGCUGGAGGUAUCAGAAGUGCGAAUGCUGACAUAAGUAACGAUAAAGCGGGUGAAAAGCCCGCUCGCCGGAAGACCAAGGGUUCCUGUCCAACGUUAAUCGGGGCAGGGUGAGUCGACCCCUAAGGCGAGGCCGAAAGGCGUAGUCGAUGGGAAACAGGUUAAUAUUCCUGUACUUGGUGUUACUGCGAAGGGGGGACGGAGAAGGCUAUGUUGGCCGGGCGACGGUUGUCCCGGUUUAAGCGUGUAGGCUGGUUUUCCAGGCAAAUCCGGAAAAUCAAGGCUGAGGCGUGAUGACGAGGCACUACGGUGCUGAAGCGACAAAUGCCCUGCUUCCAGGAAAAGCCUCUAAGCAUCAGGUAACAUCAAAUCGUACCCCAAACCGACACAGGUGGUCAGGUAGAGAAUACCAAGGCGCUUGAGAGAACUCGGGUGAAGGAACUAGGCAAAAUGGUGCCGUAACUUCGGGAGAAGGCACGCUGAUAUGUAGGUGAAGCGACUUGCUCGUGGAGCUGAAAUCAGUCGAAGAUACCAGCUGGCUGCAACUGUUUAUUAAAAACACAGCACUGUGCAAACACGAAAGUGGACGUAUACGGUGUGACGCCUGCCCGGUGCCGGAAGGUUAAUUGAUGGGGUUAGCGGUAACGCGAAGCUCUUGAUCGAAGCCCGGUAAACGGCGGCCGUAACUAUAACGGUCCUAAGGUAGCGAAAUUCCUUGUCGGGUAAGUUCCGACCUGCACGAAUGGCGUAAUGAUGGCCAGGCUGUCUCCACCCGAGACUCAGUGAAAUUGAACUCGCUGUGAAGAUGCAGUGUACCCGCGGCAAGACGGAAAGACCCCGUGAACCUUUACUAUAGCUUGACACUGAACAUUGAGCCUUGAUGUGUAGGAUAGGUGGGAGGCUUUGAAGUGUGGACGCCAGUCUGCAUGGAGCCGACCUUGAAAUACCACCCUUUAAUGUUUGAUGUUCUAACGUGGGCCCCUUACCGGGGUUGCGGACAGUGUCUGGUGGGUAGUUUGACUGGGGCGGCUCCUCCUAAAGAGUAACGGAGGAGCACGAAGGUUGGCUAAUCCUGGUCGGACAUCAGGAGGUUAGUGCAAUGGCAUAAGCCAGCUUGACUGCGAGCGUGACGGCGCGAGCAGGUGCGAAAGCAGGUCAUAGUGAUCCGGUGGUUCUGAAUGGAAGGGCCAUCGCUCAACGGAUAAAAGGUACUCCGGGGAUAACAGGCUGAUACCGCCCAAGAGUUCAUAUCGACGGCGGUGUUUGGCACCUCGAUGUCGGCUCAUCACAUCCUGGGGCUGAAGUAGGUCCCAAGGGUAUGGCUGUUCGCCAUUUAAAGUGGUACGCGAGCUGGGUUUAGAACGUCGUGAGACAGUUCGGUCCCUAUCUGCCGUGGGCGCUGGAGAACUGAGGGGGGCUGCUCCUAGUACGAGAGGACCGGAGUGGACGCAUCACUGGUGUUCGGGUUGUCAUGCCAAUGGCACUGCCCGGUAGCUAAAUGCGGAAGAGAUAAGUGCUGAAAGCAUCUAAGCACGAAACUUGCCCCGAGAUGAGUUCUCCCUGACUCCUUGAGAGUCCUGAAGGAACGUUGAAGACGACGACGUUGAUAGGCCGGGUGUGUAAGCGCAGCGAUGCGUUGAGCUAACCGGUACUAAUGAACCGUGAGGCUUAACCU